rnacentral:rRNA from 1 species
AUGUCAACUGCUGUCCCAACCGAAAGUAGUAAGCCUAAGAGGAGGAAUGCUCGUGGGAAUCGGACUGACCCUGGCUGGGAACAUGGAGAAGAAGUUGAUGCUGAGAAGAGGACAACAAGAUGCAAAUAUUGCCUUCUAGUUAAAGGUGGAGGUGUCUACAGACUGAAGCAUCACUUGGCUGGGACAAGGUUUAAUGUCGAGCCUUGCGAAAAAGUUCCCGAUGAUGUUCGAAAAAAGUUUCUCAAACUUCUGGGGGUCCAAGCAGAGAAGAAUGAUGCAAAGAAGAGGAAGUUUAACACAGAAAUGGAGGAGACGGGUGCAUGUUCGAAGGAGAAUACUCCUGCUGAUAACAAUGAAGAUGAGGCUGCGACAAAUCGUUUCGCUAACAAGCGCAGAGCCCAAACAACGGUGAAUCAGUUUUACAAGAAAGAAGAGAGAGAAGAGGUUUGUGCUCAAAUUUGUCGGGUCUUCUAUACCAAUUCUAUCUCAUUUAAUGUUGUCAAGGACCCAGAAUUUAUAAAGAUGAUUGAAAUGAUUGGAAACUUUGGUAAAGGUUUUAAACCUCCAUCAUAUCAUGAAGUGAGGGUAAAAUUUCUCAAGCUGGAAGUUAAGAGAACAAUGAAUUUGCUCUCUGAAUACAAAGAAGAGUGGAAAAAGACAGGAUGUACAAUUAUGUCUGAUGGAUGGACAGAUAAAAAGAAAAGGUCCAUCUGCAACUUUUUAGUGAAUAGCCCCAAAGGUACUGUCUUUCUCGCCUCAGUCGAUACUUCUGACAUUUCCAAGACAGCGGACAAAGUGUUUGAAAUGUUAGAUGAUAUUGUUGAGCAAGUAGGAGAAGAUAAUGUUGUUCAAAUUGUAACGGACAAUGCCGCUAACUAUAAAGCAGCUGGUGAGCUAUUGAUGGAAAAGAGGAAAAAAUUAUUUUGGACUCCAUUUGCAGCUCAUUGUAUUGAUUUAAUUCUUGAGGAUUUUGAAAAGAAAAUUAAGAUGCAUCAGACAACCAUUACAAAGGGCAGAAAAAUCACCACGUAUAUUUAUUCUAGAGCAAUGGUUAUUUCUUGGUUGAGAGAGUUCACUGGAGGGAAGGAUUUAGUUAGGCCAGCAGUGACAAGAUUUGCUACUGCCUAUUUGACUUUGGGUUGUUUGCAUGAGCACAAGGGCGCAUUAAUCAAUAUGUUCACUUCAACAAAGUGGAGGGGUAGUAGAUUUAAUUCUGCAGAAGGGAAGGUCGUUCAAGGAAUUGUUUUGGAUAGCCGUGGGUUUUGGCCUAAUGUUGCCACAUGUCUGAAGGCUGCACUCCCAAUUAUAAAAGUUCUUCGAUUGGUGGAUUCAGAUGAGAAGCCAGCAAUGCCGUUCAUCUAUGAUGAGAUGGAUCGUGCAAAAGAUAAAAUAAAGCAAAAUUUUAACAAUGUGAAGAAAAGCUACAAUCCAAUAUUUAAUAUAAUUGAUGAGAGAUGGCGUACACAACUUCAUAGGCCUUUGCAUGCUGCUGCAUAUUAUUUGAAUCCACAAUGCCACUAUAGUGAUAAUUUCAAGCCGGCUGAAGUAAAACGUGGCCUGUACACUUGUCUUGAAAAGAUGGUUCCAGAUUUAGAUGAAAGAAUCAAGAUAGAUCUGCAGAUUGAUUCAUUUAGGAGUGCCGAGGGCCUAUUUGGAAUGCAAUCGGCUAUUAUGACAAGAACAAAAAAAAGCCAGCUGAUUGGUGGGAUUCGUAUGGAGAUGAUUGCCCUGAGUUGCAGAGGUUUGCAAUCAGAGUACUGA